rnacentral:lncRNA from 1 species
CCGGGAGGUGUGGUAGGGGAGGGUUUGUAGAGCUUCAAAUUUUAAGCACGAUGAUCCUGUCCAGCCCCGCUGCCCACACGCGCCCCCAGCCCCACGCCCACGGGGCUGAGGCUGCCUGGGCAGGCGCUGACAGCCGCCGAGGUGUGGGGCUGCCGGGGCUGUCGCGGGUGUGCUGUGGCCCCAGCAGGCUCAGCACCCGUGCAUGGACCUGCUGGGGGUCUCCUUGGGCAUGCACAAUGAAAGUUUCUACUGCUUCCCUUGGGUAUCUCAUACAUCAUUCUGCCAGGAAAAGAGAAAAUCAGGAAUACUGUGUCUAUGCUCAGGUCCAACUCUUUAUACCUCCUUUUGAGAAUCUGUGUGGCCGGCUGCCCGUACGCCUGUCCCAGCUCCUCCUGCCGUUGUGUGGUGGAGCUGGAGGGCGGCCGUGAGCCCAUCCGAUAGCGCGGGGUCCGACGGCUCUUGCGUUCCUCAGGUGCCCUUUGUGCCUUGGAGGAGCCCAGCCUGGCGCUCGGCAUCUGGCUCUGCUCCAGUCACCGACAGAAUGGCUGUGUGCAUGGCCUGAAGUGAUACCACUGCUGGAAACAAUCUUUGCUUUCAUCCUUCAUUGCAGACUCAUCCCAGUUUUUGUCUGAAAUCUUUUUUUGCCUCUUCCAUCCUAACUGUAUCCAGAUUUUCCUGUUUCCUCCCUCAUGUCUCAGCUGUAUCAGCUGCACUGGUCCCAGCCGCGUUUCUCUUGGUCAUAUUCUGCAUUUUACUGAUUCUUCCAAGUCCUGCUUCUUGUGCUGGUGGUGGUAUUUGUGAUUUAUCCCAGCUGAGUCUCGUCU